GAUGAACGCUGGCGGCGUGCCUAAUACAUGCAAGUCGAGCGAACAGACGAGGAGCUUGCUCCUCUGACGUUAGCGGCGGACGGGUGAGUAACACGUGGAUAACCUACCUAUAAGACUGGGAUAACUUCGGGAAACCGGAGCUAAUACCGGAUAAUAUAUUGAACCGCAUGGUUCAAUAGUGAAAGACGGUUUUGCUGUCACUUAUAGAUGGAUCCGCGCCGCAUUAGCUAGUUGGUAGGGUAACGGCUUACCAAGGCAACGAUGCGUAGCCGACCUGAGAGGGUGAUUGGCCACACUGGAACUGAGACACGGUCCAGACUCCUACGGGAGGCAGCAGUAGGGAAUCUUCCGCAAUGGGCGGAAGCCUGACGGAGCAACGCCGCGUGAGUGAUGAAGGUCUUCGGAUCGUAGAACUCUGUUAUUAGGGAAGAACAAAUGUGUAAGUAACUAUGCACGUCUUGACGGUACCUAAUCAGAAAGCCACGGCUAACUACGUG
rnacentral:rRNA from 1 species